GCAUCGCGGAAACGCCCCCUCCAUUACUCGACACAAGCCUCGAAGCCUCGAUACAGAACGUCACAUCACUACUGACAAACCCACAAAGAAACGGAGAGAUGGGGAACCACCUUUUUCUACAAAGUAAUCGUAAUUACAAAACUACUUGUUCAUCCCAUUUAUAGAUGUACUAAAGUCCCAACACUCCUCGUCCUGGAGUGAAGUCUGACAAGCGGGGAACUGGGCAGACCUCAGCUUUCCUGUCCAAGGAGUUUGAGACCACUGUACAGUCACAUCAAAAUAAUUUUGAGUCCACAGAGGCUGCUGUACGGUCCAAAAACAUGACACAGUUUGACUGAGUGAGUCACCUGCAUCCCAGGGUCAUGAUCAUGCCAUACAAUUACCUUUGAGUCACUCACCUUGGAGACAGAGGGAUGGGCAUGUCUCUGGGAAAAUCCUGAUAUAUCCCAUCUGGUGACUUUUCCUGGCUUAAAAAGGACACUGACAGAGGGCUGUUCACCCCUGUUCAGACAUACAAGGACACUACUGUUGUGUUAAAGAGGCGACGGGUGAUGAAAUCACAUCACAUUUGUUUUUACCCACCAGAACCUCCUGAGAUUGGCCACUAGGGGGACAUCCCGCGCUAAACAGGCACAGGGUUAGGGGAGUGAGACUGACGGCUCCAGAUAAAAAAGAGAAACUGGAGGCUGCUGUAGCUAGGCUAAACAAAA